rnacentral:tRNA from 6 species
GGGUCAUUAGCUCAGUUGGAUAGAGCAACCGCCUUCUAAGCGGUCGGUCGAGGGUUCGAAUCCUUCAUGGCCCGCCA